rnacentral:miRNA from 1 species
CCGACGCCUCGGGAUUCUACAGCAGGGCCACGUCUGUGUGGGCCAAAGGGUGCAUGUGCUGUCUCCCGGGUUUCGGGGC